UACGUAGGGUGCGAGCGUUAAUCGGAAUUACUGGGCGUAAAGCGUGCGCAGGCGGUUGUGCAAGACAGAUGUGAAAUCCCCGGGCUCAACCUGGGAACUGCAUUUGUGACUGCACGGCUAGAGUGUGUCAGAGGGGGGUAGAAUUCCACGUGUAGCAGUGAAAUGCGUAGAUAUGUGGAGGAAUACCGAUGGCGAAGGCAGCCCCCUGGGAUAACACUGACGCUCAUGCACGAAAGCGUGGGGAGCAAACAGG
rnacentral:rRNA from 1 species